UACAUUACAAAUGAUGAAUUAGGGCCUUGCCCCAUUUGGUGUAUUUUGUUACUAUCAAUAUUCUGACUAUGCUGUUGGCGAUGGUGGAACUGGAGGGUACAGAUGCGGCGGCGACAACGUCGACUUCGGUGAGAUGGCUGGUGGACCAAGGACCAAUCCUGCAUUUGCUUUAUAAUAUGAAGUAAUGUCGAUGUGUGAUGUUAACAUCAUGGUUAUCUACAGAUGUAUGGGUACGCUCCGUUUAUGGUCGUCUCUAUAACGUGUGGAGUAUCGAGACCUGUUUACGGAGUCCGCCGUGAUGGAAAACGUUAAUAUUCCAACAAAAGUGCUUCCGGAUGCUACGAUGAGAGAGCUUGGCCUUCCAAGCGCAGCUUACUCAACACACAAGGCAAGGACCUCGAGGCAAGUGUUUAAUUCUAUCCAUUGAGUACCAGCUAAAUAAUGAACUUGCAAAGACAUUAAUAUCCAUCUAUGUCUAUGAAACUGGAUGAGUCUGAAGAUUGGCUGGCAGACGAACCUCUUAAAUACAUGGAAGCCUCUUACAACAAAGUGCUGCAAGACAUCAACUAUGAUAAGUUGCAGUUGGUUCAACAAAAAGUAAAUCUCUGGAACACGAGCUGAAAGAAAAAGAUGGAAUCAUAGACUAUCUGAGCAGCAGCUGGUGGAUGAUGUCUAUGGAAGGCAUUUCUGCUUUUGCCAAUUACAACCCGCCGAAACACACCCACCAUGAAGAGCAGCUUAGAUGAUGAGGUCAUUUUCGACACGGCUGGUACAGGCUCUACCUGAUCUAAAUACUGCAUAUCUUAGUUACCAUAAGCUAGGUGACCAAAGCUAUCUAUAUGAUGCAUGUCUGUCUAUCAGCUAAUCUCAUCCCUUUCUUUUGGCCUAUGUUCUUAUUUGACAAAGCUGAAGGAAGCACGUCCAGAUUAGUUCUCUGGAUGGUGAGGUUAGAUUAAUUGACCACUAUUUCUAUUUAACUUCUCCUGUACACAAUAUUCACAAGUUCAUGUAUUAAGUACAUUUUAUUGUGUCACUUGUGUUUACUCCUUUUUUAAUGCAAGUUUACAGCUACUCGGAGUUCCUAAUUGCAGACUCAACUAUCUUGACCUACCGAUGAUCUAAUUUGUGGCAUUAAUUAUUACCUUAAGAAAAUAUUUGCAUUUAAUUUCACUUAUAUAUAGGGGUAUAAGUUCUUACCAAAUGUACUCAAAUAUACAAUUACUGAAAAAAUGCAAAUAUUUUCAACACGAACAUGGUUUUAAACGGGUCUUUGCGCCAUUUGGCGCAACUGGUCAUCUAGUAGAGCAAACCAUCCAGGGUCCCUUCGGUGCAGUAAUCAUCUCUGAAUAGGUGAGUACAGCUUCAGCUUCAGCUGCAUGCUAGGUGUUUGUUGUUUGCUUUAGCAGUGCUUUGGUUGCUGCAAAUCUAGCAAGUUGCCUGACAGCUCCAUAUCUCAUCGUCUGCAUGAUUUCAGCAUCGCAUGUGACAGCCAUUCCUGGUAUCUCCAUUGCAUUUUCCUAUGGGCCAACCAGUUGGUAACCAUCAGGGCCAGAAUGGCAUCAGGUCCAUCUCUAUGGAGCUGUCACUAGUUCAUGUCACUAUUUUUGUUUUCUGGUGGCUUUUGUUCAUGGACUGCAGUAAUGUAAGUUGCAGCGCAGGGCUCACUUUGUUAGUACCUGAAGUUUACUUGUAUUGUCCAUGACAGUGACUUAAUGAUGAGGGCAUCUCAGUACCUCAUGUUGUUCCCAUGAAGGAGGAGGUGAAGCCCAACUUCAGGACUCCUCCAAGUUAGAGGUGUGCCAAAGGGGGUGACCGAACCAUGUACUUGGUCGGUUCUAGUUUUAUCUAUUUUUAUUUCCAAGUCUUGUUAUGGGCCACUUAGGAUUUUUAUUUUGUGUAUUUCGGUGUGGGCCUGUCCAACCGAUUAGUUUUCUAGAUGCCUAUAUAAGGAGGCUAGUGGCUAGGUUUAGAGGGGGUGAAAUUUUUAGAUUGAGUUUUGAACAUUGUGUCCACGUGGUGAAUCAUCCCUCCGGGGACGGCGCUGCUAUUUAUCAAAUAAAGUGAUGAUUGCAUGAA